CCAAUAGCGUAUAUUAAAGUUGUUGCAGUUAAAAAGCUCGUAGUUGAAUUUCGGGGUCAGUAGGUUGGUCGUGCCACUGGUAUGUACUGGUCUCACUGAUUCCUCCUUCCUGAUGAGCUGUAAUGCCAUUAAUUUGGUGUUGCAGGGAAUCUGGACUGUUACUUUGAAAAAAUUAGAGUGUUUAAAGCAGGCUAACGCUUGAAUACAUUAGCAUGGAAUAAUGAAAUAGGACGUUCGAUCCUAUUUUGUUGGUUUCUAGGAUUGACGUAAUGAUUAAUAGGGAUAGUUGGGGGCAUUAGUAUUCAAUUGUCAGAGGUGAAAUUCUUGGAUUUAUUGAAGACUAACUACUGCGAAAGCAUUUGCCAAGGAUGUUUUCAUUAAUCAAGAACGAAAGUUAGGGGAUCGAAGACGAUCAGAUACCGUCGUAGUCUUAACCAUAAACUAUGCCGACUAGGGAUCGGAUGAUGUUAAUUUUUUAAUGACUCAUUCGGCGCCUUACA
rnacentral:rRNA from 1 species